AGUGAACGCUGGCGGUAGGCCUAACACAUGCAAGUCGAACGGCAGCACAGUAAGAGCUUGCUCUUACGGGUGGCGAGUGGCGGACGGGUGAGGAAUACAUCGGAAUCUACUUUUUCGUGGGGGAUAACGUAGGGAAACUUACGCUAAUACCGCAUACGACCUACGGGUGAAAGCAGUGGAUCUUCGGACCUUGCGCGAUUGAAUGAGCCGAUGUCGGAUUAGCUAGUUGGCGGGGUAAAGGCCCACCAAGGCGACGAUCCGUAGCUGGUCUGAGAGGAUGAUCAGCCACACUGGAACUGAGACACGGUCCAGACUCCUACGGGAGGCAGCAGUGGGGAAUAUUGGACAAUGGGCGCAAGCAUGAUCCAGCCAGACCGCGUGGGUGAAGAAGGCCUUCGGGUUGUAAAGACCUUUUGUUGGGAAAGAAAAGCAGCAGGUUAAUACCCCGCUGUUCUGACGGUACCCAAAGAAUAAGCACCGGCUAACUUCGUG
rnacentral:rRNA from 1 species